CUGGGAUCUAGUUAGGUUUCUUCAGAGAAUACUAGACUCAACGGCAGUCAAGGAAUUAUAGGUCAGUUCAAGUUUUGGUAAACAAAGGCUGACUUACAUGACUAUUUUCACCAAGCCGCAAAAGCCAUCCAGUGUUAUUUCUGCCACUUCUAUUAGCUACAAGGGUGUCUUGAACCCACCUAGAUUCAAGGAAGGGCAUUGUGGACCUCACCUCUUGAUGAAAGGAGUUUCAUUAUCCCAUUGUGGAGGAGCAAGGCAGGUGGCCUGGAUGAAGAAAGAAGGGAGGCCUACUGCUCCUGCUGAUGCUUGCUGCCUUCUGCCUGCCCUGACAAGCCAUGGAUUGUUUUUCCUCUGUGAUGCCUCUUUGCCAUGCUGCCCUGCAGUGGAGCCAGUCUACUAUGGAAUAAAACCUCUAAAAACUAUAUGUGUCUUGGGGGCAAAAGCUGACCAAGUCCUACAGGUAACUGUGAAGAUCUGAGGAAUUCCUCAUUUCCAUUCAUUGCCUGCUUAGAGAACUCAAUAUCCUGGACCUCCUCACCCCAACUAAAGAUCAUAAAUCCAAUGAGAAAACCUUCAGAGAAGGGGAUAAAACAAUCAGUGUAGAGCUGCAUCUACCUAAAUGAUGGCUAAUAGAUCACACUUAGACUCUGAUUAGAAGAUACCUUAUAUGUGCUGACAGAAGUUGCCACAUAUUCUAAAGUGUCAUGGCUCAGAUCUAUAACGUACCUCAGAAGGUUCAUGUGUUCAGAAGUGAGGCUUUGGAAAGGCAAUUUGAUCACAAGAGUGUUGAAGGGACCUUUAGGAGGUGAAGCCUGGUUGGAGAAGGCUAAACUUAUGAUCUUGGAGGAGCAAGAUUGGAGUGGAUAUGGAAAGCAAUGACAGACAGAUUAAAGAUACCUUGAGGACAAAAGCAAUCCUGUAAAUCAGAAUCCUGAUCAUCUCCAGGCAGCAUUAUUUCUUCAGGGUGUAUUGUUGAGUUUUUCCCCUCUGUUUUACAAGUUCUUCCGACCUCAUUCAGCUUAACGUCCUAAACAAGUUCAUCAUGUC
ensembl:lncRNA